AGGGGUAUGGUGUUAAUGGCUAACAUGACGGAUUCCAAAUCCGUUGCUCGCGGUUCGAAUCCGUGUACCCCUGCCA
rnacentral:tRNA from 1 species